AUCCUGGCUCAGGAUGAACGCUAGCGGCAGGCUUAAUACAUGCAAGUCGUGGGGCAGCAUGAGUAGCAAUACUUGAUGGCGACCGGCAAACGGGUGAGAACACGUACACAACCUUCCUUCAAGCGGGGAAUAGCCCAGAGAAAUUUGGAUUAAUACCCCAUAAUAUAUUUGAUAAGGCAUCUUAUUAAUAUUAAAGCUUCGGCACUUGAUGAUGGGUGUGCGGCUGAUUAGAUAGUUGGCGGGGUAACGGCCCACCAAGUCUACGAUCAGUAGCUGAUGUGAGAGCAUGAUCAGCCACACGGGCACUGAGACACGGGCCCGACUCCUACGGGAGGCAGCAGUAAGGAAUAUUGGACAAUGGACGAAAGUCUGAUCCAGCCAUGCCGCGUGAAGGAUUAAGGUCCUCUGGAUUGUAAACUUCUUUUAUAUGGGACGAAAAAAGGGCAUUCUUGUUCACUUGACGGUACCAUAUGAAUAAGCACCGGCUAACUCCGUG
rnacentral:rRNA from 1 species